AACUUAGAAGACGACCAAUAAAAACAUCACAUCGUCACGUGUUCACAGACGGUCAGACACGUGAACGAAGGCCUGACAGGAAGUGACUCCUGACAGGAAGUGACUCCUCAUAUUCAGAGCGAUUCAUUUAUUAUAAAUCAGAUCUUUUUCUGGAUCAGAAGUUUCUGGACACGGAUCCUUCCAGAGGUUCAGACGUGAACGUGAUUCUCGACCAACUAUAAACUUUUUGUGAAAGUCUGCUUCUGCGCUGCCGUCUGAAGCAUCAUCUUCAUCAUCAUCAUCGCAGUUGUCGUCACCAUCCCUUCAUCCUCUUCGUC